rnacentral:rRNA from 1 species
GACGAACGCUGGCGGCGUGCUUAACACAUGCAAGUCGUACGGUAAGGCCCUUUCGGGGGUCCACGAGUGGCGAACGGGUGAGUAACACGUGAGUAACCUGCCCACAACUUUGGGAUAACGCUAGGAAACUGGUGCUAAUACUGGAUAUGUGCUCCUGCUGCAUGGUGGGGGUUGGAAAGCUCCGGCGGUUGUGGAUGGACUCGCGGCCUAUCAGCUUGUUGGUGGGGUAGUGGCCUACCAAGGCGGCGACGGGUAGCCGGCCUGAGAGGGUGACCGGCCACAUUGGGACUGAGAUACGGCCCAGACUCCUACGGGAGGCAGAAGUGGGGAAUAUUGCACAAGGGGCGCAAGCCUGAUGCAGCAACGCCGCGUGCGGGAUGACGGCCUUCGGGUUGAAAACCGCUUUCAGCAGGGACGAAGCUUUUUGUGACGGUACCUGCAGAAGAAGCACCGGCUAACUACGUG